GACGAACGCUGGCGGCGUGCUUAACACAUGCAAGUCGAACGGAAAGGCCUCUUUCGGGGGGUACUCGAGUGGCGAACGGGUGAGUAACACGUGAGUAACCUGCCCUUGACUUUGGGAUAACUUCCGGAAACUGGGGCUAAUACCGGAUAGGAGCUCCUGCUGCAUGGUGGGGGUUGGAAAGUUUCGGCGGCUGGGGAUGGACUCGCGGCUUAUCAGCUUGUUGGUGGGGUAGUGGCUUACCAAGGCUUUGACGGGUAGCCGGCCUGUGAGGGUGACCGGCCGCAUUGGGACUGAGAUACGGCCCAGGCUCCUACGGGAGGCAGCAGUGGGGAAUAUUGCACGAUCGGUGGAAGCCGGAUGCAGCAACGCCGUGUGCGGGAUGACGGCCUUCUGGUUGGAAACCGCUUUCGCUCAUGACGAAGCUUUGUGUGACGGUAGUGGGUAAAGAAGCACCGGCUAACUACGUG
rnacentral:rRNA from 1 species